rnacentral:lncRNA from 1 species
GGGGCUCCCAGGCCCGUCUGUCCCUGCGUACUUGUUGCAUAAAAGCAUGUGUCUGGAGGAAUAGGACCUGAAGUUCACUUCCUGGGAAACACCAGCAAGCAUCACAUCUGAUCUGAUGGACAGGACUGGGAAACUGGAUUCUUCUGUGAUUUUCUCAAUGUAACUGAGGAGGGUGCCACACAAUAUGCCCAGAGCCCACACAGCAGGGCAGAGAUCAACACUAACAGGUAACUGGGCUGAGGACCACCAAUAUUUUGGCUCUGGCCUCCCAAGAUCAUCAAAGAUCCAAGGUGUGAAGGAACCUUUUCUACAACACCUUAUAUCUUUGGUAAGUCACCCAACUUCCUGAACAGGG